rnacentral:rRNA from 1 species
CCUACGGGUGGCAGCAGUGGGGAAUAUUGGGCAAUGGGCGCAAGCCUGACCCAGCAACGCCGCGUGAGUGAAGAAGUAAUUCGUUACGUAAAGCUCUAUCAGCAGGGAAGAAAAUGACGGUACCUGAGUAAGAAGCCCCGGCUAACUACGUGCCAGCAGCCGCGGUAAUACGUAGGGGGCAAGCGUUAUCCGGAUUUACUGGGUGUAAAGGGUGCGUAGGCGGGUUAUCAAGUCAGCGGUAAAAUCGUGGAGCUCAACUCCAUCCAGCCGUUGAAACUGAUGAUCUUGAGUGGGCGAGAAGUAUGCGGAAUGCGUGGUGUAGCGGUGAAAUGCAUAGAUAUCACGCAGAACUCCGAUUGCGAAGGCAGCAUACCGGCGCCCGACUGACGCUGAAGCACGAAAGCGUGGGUAUCGAACAGGAUUAGAUACCCUGGUAGUC